AUGGCUGGUGUUCUAACGUGGGCCCGUGAUCCGGGUUGCGGACAGUGUCUGGUGGGUAGUUUGACUGGGGCGGUCUCCUCCUAAAGAGUAACGGAGGAGCACGAAGGUCAGCUAAUCCUGGUCGGACAUCAGGAGGUUAGUGCAAUGGCAUAAGCUGGCUUGACUGCGAGCGUGACGGCGCGAGCAGGUGCGAAAGCAGGUCAUAGUGAUCCGGUGGUUCUGAAUGGAAGGGCCAUCGCUCAACGGAUAAAAGGUACUCCGGGGAUAACAGGCUGAUACCGCCCAAGAGUUCAUAUCGACGGCGGUGUUUGGCACCUCGAUGUCGGCUCAUCACAUCCUGGGGCUGAAGUAGGUCCCAAGGGUAUGGCUGUUCGCCAUUUAAAGUGGUACGCGAGCUGGGUUUAGAACGUCGUGAGACAGUUCGGUCCCUAUCUGCCGUGGGCGCUGGAGAAUUGAGGGGGGCUGCUCCUAGUACGAGAGGACCGGAGUGGACGCAUCACUGGUGUUCGGGUUGUCAUGCCAAUGGCAUUGCCCGGUAGCUAAAUGCGGAAGAGAUAAGUGCUGAAAGCAUCUAAGCACGAAACUUGCC
rnacentral:rRNA from 1 species